rnacentral:rRNA from 1 species
GACGAACGCUGGCGGCGUGCUUAACACAUGCAAGUCGAGCGGAAAGGCCCUUCGGGGUACUCGAGCGGCGAACGGGUGAGUAACACGUGAGUAACCUGCCCUGGACUUUGGGAUAACCCUCGGAAACGGGGGCUAAUACCGAAUACGACACUCUACCGCAUGGUGUGGGUGUGGAAAGUUUUUCGGUCGGGGAUGGACUCGCGGCCUAUCAGCUUGUUGGUGGGGUAAUGGCCUACCAAGGCGACGACGGGUAGCCGGCCUGAGAGGGCGACCGGCCACACUGGGACUGAGACACGGCCCAGACUCCUACGGGAGGCAGCAGUGGGGAAUAUUGCACAAUGGGCGGAAGCCUGAUGCAGCGACGCCGCGUGAGGGAUGACGGCCUUCGGGUUGUAAACCUCUUUCAGCAGGGACGAAGCGCAAGUGACGGUACCUGCAGAAGAAGCGCCGGCCAACUACGUGCCAGCCGCCGCAGUAAAAC